AUUGAACGCUGGCGGAAUGCUUUACACAUGCAAGUCGAACGGCAGCACGGGAGCUUGCUCCUGGUGGCGAGUGGCGAACGGGUGAGUAACAUAUCGGAACGUACCCAGUCGUGGGGGAUAACUAUCCGAAAGGAUAGCUAAUACCGCAUACGUCCUGAGGGAGAAAGCGGGGGAUCGCAAGACCUCGCGCGAUUGGAGCGGCCGAUAUCGGAUUAGCUAGUUGGUGGGGUAAAGGCUCACCAAGGCGACGAUCCGUAGCGGGUCUGAGAGGACGACCCGCCACACUAGAACUUAGACACGGUCCAGACUCCUACGGGAGGCAGCAGUGGGGAAUUUUGGACAAUGGGGGCAACCCUGAUCCAGCCAUUCCGCGUGAGUGAAGAAGGCCUUCGGGUUGUAAAGCUCUUUCAGCAGGAACGAAACGGUCGGCUUUAAUAAAGUCGGCUAAUGACGGUACCUGCAGAAGAAGCACCGGCUAACUACGUG
rnacentral:rRNA from 1 species